GAUGAACGCUGGCGGCGUGCCUAAUACAUGCAAGUCGAGCGAACGGACGAGAAGCUUGCUCCUCUGAUGUUAGCGGCGGACGGGUGAGUAACACGUGGAUAACCUACCUAUAAUACUGGGAUAACUUCGGGAAACCGGAGCUAAUACCAGAUAAUAUUUUGAACCGCAUGGUUCAAAAGUUAAAUGCGGUUUUGCUGUCACUUAUAGAUGGAUCCGCGCUGCAUUAGCUAGUUGGUAAGGUAACGGCUUACCAAGGCAACGAUGCGUAGCCGACCUGAGAGGGUGAUCGGCCACACUGGAACUGAGACACGGGCCAGACCCCUACGGGAGGCAGAAGUGGGGAAUAUUCCGCAAUGGGCGAAAGCCUGACCGAGCAAAGCCGGGUGGGGGAAGAAGGUCUUCGGAUUGUAAAACUCUUUUUUUAGGGAAGAAAAAAAGGGUAAGAAAACGUGGCCGUUCUGACGGUACCUAAACAAAAAGCCCCGGCUAACUUCGUG
rnacentral:rRNA from 1 species